rnacentral:rRNA from 1 species
UUCCAGCAUAAAAAGUAUUGGAAGCACCGCCUGCCCUGUGACCUAUGUUUAACGGCCGCGGUAUACUGACCGUGCAAAGGUAGCAUAAUCAUUUGUUCCUUAAAUAGGGACUUGUAUGAAUGGCUGAACGAGGGUUCAACUGUCUCUUACUUCCAAUCCGUGAAAUUGACCUCCCUGUGAAAAGGCAGGAAUACCAUAAUAAGACGAGAAGACCCUGUGGAGCUUAAAUUAACUAACCAAAGCAACCAAACCACAACUCAAAAGAGAAUAACAUCUAUGCUCAUUGGUUAACAAUUUUGGUUGGGGUGACCUCGGAGCAUAAAUCAACCUCCGAAUGAUUAUAAUCCAGACGUAACCAGUCUAAAUUAAAUACUCAUUAAUUGACCCAAAAGAUUGAUCAAUGGAACAAGUUACCCCAGGGAUAACAGCGCAAUCCUAUUCUAGAGUCCAUAUCGACAAUAGGGUUUACGACCUCGAUGUUGGAUCAGGACAUCCAAGUGGUGUAACCGCUAUUAAUGGUUCGUUUGUUCAACGAUUAAAGUCCUACGU